AGAGUUUGAUCCUGGCUCAGAUUGAACGCUGGCGGCAUGCCUAACACAUGCAAGUCGAACGGUAACAGGUCUUCGGAUGCUGACGAGUGGCGGACGGGUGAGUAAUGCGUAGGAAUCUGUCUUUUAGUGGGGGACAACCCAGGGAAACUUGGGCUAAUACCGCAUGAGCCCUGAGGGGGAAAGCGGGGGAUCUUCGGACCUCGCGCUAAGAGAGGAGCCUACGUCCGAUUAGCUAGUUGGCGGGGUAAAGGCCCACCAAGGCGACGAUCGGUAGCUGGUCUGAGAGGACGACCAGCCACACUGGGACUGAGACACGGCCCAAACUCCUACGGGAGGCAGUAGUGGGGAAUUUUUCGCAAUGGGGGCAACCCUGACAAAGCAAUGCCGCGUGGAUGAAGAAGCCUUCGGGUUGUAAAGUCCUUUCGUGGAGGACGAAAAGGUGGGUUCUAAUACAAUCUGCUAUUUGACGUGAAUCCCAGAAGAAGCACCGGCAAAUUCCUGCCAGCACCGCGGUAAUACCGGGGGUGCAAGCGUUAAUCGGAAUCACUGGGCGUAAAGGGUGCGUAGCUGUCGUUAGGUCUGUCGUGAAAUCCCCGGGCUCACCUGGGAUGGCGUUCAACCGGCCAUUAUAGUAUGGAGAAGGUGUGAUUCCGGUGUACGUAAUGCGUAAUUCUGAGACUCAUGCGAGCGCACUGUCAUACUGACCUAGCACAACUGGGAGAAAGAUAAUCCUGUUCCCCUACAUAACAAUUUGUGCCCGACUGAGUGUCUACUACAUAGAUCCUGAGAUCCAGUACUAGAUACGGCCCACCGGACAUGUAUAUACAACUCGUUUUCAUAAGCUGACACAGAGUCUCAGUAUCACUCGCUCGCAGAUCU
rnacentral:rRNA from 1 species